rnacentral:rRNA from 1 species
UACGUAGGGGGCUAGCGUUGUCCGGAUUUAUUGGGCGUAAAGAGCGUGUAGGCGGCCUUCUAAGUCGGACGUGAAAUCCCUCGGCUUAACCGAGGAACUGCGUCCGAUACUGAAAGGCUUGAAUCCGGGAGAGGGAUGUGGAAUUCCAGGUGUAGCGGUGAAAUGCGUAGAUAUCUGGAGGAACACCGGUGGCGAAGGCGGCAUCCUGGACCGGCAUUGACGCUGAGGCGCGAAAGCUAGGGGAGCAAACGGG